AUGUUCUGGUGGAAUGUUCUGGGUGGAAUGUUCUGGGUGGAAUGUUCUGGGUGGAAUGACCUGGUGGAAUGUUCUGGGUGGAAUGACCUGGUGGAAUGUUCUGGGUGGAAUGUUCUGGGUGGAAUGUUCUGGUGGAAUGUUCUGGGUGGCGUUACCUGGUGGAAUGUUCUGGGUGGCGUUACCUGGGGGAAUGUUCUGGGUGGAAUGUUCUGGUGGAAUGUUCUGGGUGGUGUUACCUGGUGGAAUGUUCUGGGUGGCGUUACCUGGUGGAAUGUUCUGGGUGGUGUUACCUGGGGGAAUGUUCUGGGUGGAAUGUUCUGGUGGAAUGUUCUGGGUGGUGUUACCUGGUGGAAUGUUCUGGGUGGCGUUACCUGGUGGAAUGUUCUGGGUGGUGUUACCUGGGGGAAUGUUCUGGGUGGAAUGUUCUGGUGGAAUGUUCUGGGUGGUGUUACCUGGUGGAAUGUUCUGGGUGGCGUUACCUGGUGGAAUGUUCUGGGUGGCGUUACCUGGGGGAAUGUUCUGGUGGAAUGUUCUGGGUGGUGUUACCUGGGGGAAUGUUCUGGUGGAAUGUUCUGGGUGGUGUUACCUGGUGGAAUGUUCUGGGUGGCGUUACCUGGGGGAAUGUUCUGGGUGGAAUGUUCUGGGUGGCGUUACCUGGGGGAAUGUUCUGGGUGGAAUGUUCUGGGUGGAAUGUGCUGGGUGGCGUUACCUGGGGGAAUGUUCUGGGUGGCGUUACCUGGGGGAAUGUUCUGGGUGGAAUGUUCUGGGUGGAAUGUUCUGGGUGGAAUGUUCUGGGUGGCGUUACCUGGGGGAAUGUUCUGGGUGGAAUGUUCUGGGUGGAAUGUUCUGGGUGGCGUUACCUGGGGGAAUGUUCUGGGUGGCGUUACCUGGUGGAAUGUUCUGGGUGGAAUGUUCUGGGUGGAAUGUUCUGGGUGGAAUGUUCUGGGUGGCGUUACCUGGGGGAAUGUUCUGGGUGGAAUGUUCUGGGUGGCGUUACCUGGUGGAAUGUUCUGGGUGGCGUUACCUGGGGGAAUGUUCUGGGUGGAAUGUUCUGGGUGGCGUUACCUGGGGGAAUGUUCUGGGUGGCGUUACCUGGUGGAAUGUUCUGGUUGGCGUUACCUGGUGGAAUGUUCUGGGUGGUGUUACCUGGUGGAAUGUUCUGGGUGGCGUUACCUGGUGGAAUGUUCUGGGUGGAAUGUUCUGGGUGGAAUGACCUGGUGGAAUGUUCUGGGUGGCGUUACCUGGUGGAAUGUUCUGGGUGGCGUUACCUGGGGGAAUGUUCUGGGUGGCGUUACCUGGUGGAAUGUUCUGGGUGGCGUUACCUGGUGGAAUGUUCUGGGUGGCGUUACCUGGUGGAAUGUUCUGGGUAGCGUUACCUGGUGGAAUGUUCUGGGUGGCGUUACCUGGUGGAAUGUUCUGGGUGGCGUUACCUGGUGGAAUGUUCUGGGUGGCGUUACCUGGUGGAAUGUUCUGGGUGGCGUUACCUGGUGGAAUGUUCUGGGUGGCGUUACCUGGUGGAAUGUUCUGGGUGGCGUUACCUGGUGGAAUGUUCUGGGUGGCGUUACCUGGUGGAAUGUUCUGGGUGGCGUUACCUGGUGGAAUGUUCUGGGUGGCGUUACCUGGGGGAAGCUAAUGUAG
rnacentral:lncRNA from 1 species